GACGAACGCUGGCGGCGUGCUUAACACAUGCAAGUCGAGCGGUAAGGCCCCUUCGGGGGUACACGAGCGGCGAACGGGUGAGUAACACGUGGGUGACCUGCCCUCAGCUCUGGGAUAAGCCUGGGAAACCGGGUCUAAUACUGGAUAUGACUCCAUGACGCAUGUUGUGGGGUGGAAAGCCUUGUGCGGCUGAGGAUGGGCCCGCGGCCUAUCAGCUUGUUGGUGGGGUGAUGGCCUACCAAGGCGACGACGGGUAGCCGGCCUGAGAGGGCGACCGGCCACACUGGGACUGAGACACGGCCCAGACUCCUACGGGAGGCAGCAGUGGGGAAUCUUGCGCAAUGGGCGAAAGCCUGACGCAGCGACGCCGCGUGAGGGAUGACGGCCUGGUU
rnacentral:rRNA from 1 species